rnacentral:rRNA from 1 species
ACUACAAUGGCUGUAACAAAGAGAAGCGAAGCGGUGACGUGGAGCAAAACUUAGAAAAGCAGUCUCAGUUCGGAUUGAAGGCUGAAAUUCGCCUUUAUGAAGCCGGAAUUGCUAGUAAUGGCAGGUCAGCAUACUGCCGUGAAUACGUUCCCGGGCCUUGUACACACCGCCCGUCAAGCCAUGAAAGCCGGGGGCGCCUGAAGUCCGUGACCGCGAGGGUCGGCCUAGGGUGAAACCGGUGAUUGGGGCUAAGUCGUAACAAGGUACC